GCAGGGGCCUGGCGUCCUCCGGAGCAGGGCCCGUUAGGGUCCGUGUGGGUCUGUGACCAGCAAACUGGGUUGACAGAGUAGCUGGAGCAUCACCUGGGCGGGGCCGGCACAGCUCUGCAUCCUCCCCUGGGUUCUCCCCUUUACACCUGCAAGCUCAUUUUCAGUAUCCCUUACUGCUUCCCAAUCUCCCCUUCUCUCGCUCUCUCUCCGCUCUCUCUCUCUUUUGCACUGAGAUUUGGGAAAUGAGCUUAAAGUAAUAAUUAGCAAAUCUUCAAAGCUUUAGCUCUAAUUUUGCAGUUCACUGCCUCUGUGGUUUAGUGGAACAAACCACUGGGGCAUUUUUGCUGCACUAGUGUUCAAAACUACUUACCAGCUCUGCAGUCUAGGUCAGGAUAUCUCAUCUCCGUGAUCUGCAGCUUCUUCACCAGUUACACGCCAGAUCACGGGGAUGUAAUAAAGACCACCGAGAGGCUGUCCCGAAAACCAAGUAAGUUAACGGAUGUGAAAGAUCUGGUCCAGCACCUGGUACAUAACAGAUGCUCAGGAAAUGUCAAGGAGGAAGCCUCUUGACUCUAACUUGGGAUAAAAACACAACUAUCACAUUCUUUGUUUAGUCAUAAUGGGAUAAUAUCCUUGACUGCUAUUUAAAAAUUAUUUCUGCCAUCAAAUAGCUGAAUCUACCCAACAACUUUUCCUACUCAUAUUUUUAUUUAGUUUCUCAAGAUUUAAAUCUCUAGUGAAAAUUACAUGAAAAGAGUAUACAAUUUCCACUUCAAGAAUUAGACAUAAAAGUAAUGUUCCUCUAUUAUUAACAUACCUGUGUUGUACACACUUUGUACAGAAGUCCAUUUUAUUUUAUUUUAUUUUAUUUAUUAUUUUAUUUUUGAUGCAGGAAAGGUAAUUUUUGGUUUAUUUAUUUAUUAAUUUUAAACAGAGGCACUGGGGAUUGAACCCAGGACCUUGUGCAUGCUAGGCAUGCCUUUUAUCACUGAGCUAUGUUCUCCCCCAUGGAAGAUCAUUUUAGAAUUAGGAAGGGGUGACCCUGGUGGCUGAGGGUCUCCUGUUACAGGAAUGGUUUUGUUGUUGGAAGGAGAGGUGAACUCUGCAAAAUGUUGGGUUGAGCAGAACCUAAUUGAUCUUGUCCAUAAUGGCAACUUUUGCGGGUCAAUCCCCAGGUGAUUUCUGGGUGAUUUCCUGAGGGCCCUGUCUUCUUGGUCUUAGAGCAGGUGCCCAGGGCCUCCUUGUUCGGCUCCAGUGAAGUAUCCGGGCAGCUGACACAUGGGUGCAUGCUUGGCCAAGCUAACCCAGAAGGGACAAGGUCAAGCAUCAUUCCACAAGCUUUCUGUUGGUACCGAUUUUGAGGUUUAUGUGGGGAAAUCUAGGGGACAGUGAGGAGGAGGGCGAGCUCAGCUCGGCCCUGUGGAGUUGGCAGUUGAGUCUGGGGGUGCCCAUGAAGCACGGGUCACCCUGACUGCCAGGCAAGCAUGCGGGAGCUCGGAAGAGCGGUACAG